GAAUAAAGCUGCNCGUGACAUCUGUCACCCCGUUGGUUUGGCCGAUCUGGCUGGCUGGGGAGGUGUCCCCUCCCUCCCUCCCUGCUCCACGUGCAUCCCUCCUAAAGCUGCAUGUCUGGUCAAAGAGGAUGACCUUCCCCAAUAGAGAAGGAUCCUUCUUUGGUCAAGGGAAUGGCUGGGCUUCCCCUGUUAGAACCUCCUAACAAGCUCUCAAGGUCCCUUUGUAGGAGAACGUAGGGUAGUCAAGCUUGCAAGACUCCAGACCCAGCCAAAUGAGGCACUGAAUGCGGCAGUCUGCCUUNCUCU
rnacentral:snRNA from 1 species